rnacentral:rRNA from 1 species
AACGCGAAGAACCUUACCAGCGUUUGACAUGCCCGGACGCCUUCCAGAGAUGGAUUGCUUCCCUUCGGGGACCGGAGCACAGGUGCUGCAUGGCUGUCGUCAGCUCGUGUCGUGAGAUGUUGGGUUAAGUCCCGCAACGAGCGCAACCCUCGCCUUUAGUUACCAUCAUUCAGUUGGGGACUCUAAAGGAACCGCCGGUGAUAAGCCGGAGGAAGGUGGGGAUGACGUCAAGUCCUCAUGGCCCUUACGCGCUGGGCUACACACGUGCUACAAUGGCGGUGACAGUGGGCAGCAAUCGGGCGACCGUGAGCUAAUCUCCAAAAGCCGUCUCAGUUCGGAUUGUUCUCUGCAACUCGAGAGCAUGAAGGCGGAAUCGCUAGUAAUCGCGAUCAGCGCG